rnacentral:lncRNA from 1 species
CGCGUCGUCGUCGGAAAAGCGCAGGUGUUACUAACGACGUUAACCGCGGCGUCGCCUGCAUGAAUCACAACGGGACCCUGAAAGUGGCGCAAUCAAAUGAAGGCUAUCAUUAAUCCUCCUGUUUCCACCCUGUGAAAAGGGUGCGUCGGAGUAAAUAACCCGGUCAGUAUCAUUAUUCUACGGCGCGCGCGUGUUCGUGUGCACGCGGGGCUCUUACAGAUGCCGGCGCUCGUCCGCGCUCGUUAGGCACUCGAGGAGAGCAGGUGUUUGGAGUUACGGUCAAUCAGUUGGCGCCGUUUGAGCCGCGGCAGCAACACGUGGCGAACGGUCAUCAGCGCCGGCGUCCCGCGGCGACGCAAGCGGAACCGUUGUAGUUGUUGUUGUUGUUGUUGUCGCGAGGCUCUCCCUCUCGGACACCGUGUGAUUACGUGUCAGAGCUCAACACAACCCGCUCAGUGACUGCACAUCAGAUUUGUUGGGCACCUAAUCCUUCCCCUGAGCCAUCUGCUCCAUCGGAAGGAAUGGGCGCGGUAGAAAACGCGAGCCCGACUCCAAAGUGCACGUCAACUUUAACAGCGUACAGGAGUUCAGCAGAAAUAUUAAGACAUGGACGGCGGUGUUUGCUGUGUUGCUCCUCAGCUCAUUUGUCUCCAACAGGCUCCAUCAGAUCAACUGACAGCUGCUGCCUUUCCAGUGCUUUUUCAGUCACUACGGGCGAUUUGGAGCCACACCUGCGGCGUCGGCGUCGCCGUGGGGCCCGGCGGCGAGUGUCCACGGGUGGGGACGUCCUACCUUUUACCUGAGACGUGAAACGCGGCGUGUAAAGGUCCGGUCCGGGCGGGGGCGGGGCUUCGGGCUCCGGGGGGCGUGGCCGUGAAGCCCCUACCUGCUGCGUUAACCCCUUCAUCUCUACGACGGAUGGCCUCCAUCAGGUGAUAACGGGAGAGUCUUCGUUCCCAGCGCAGAGGCUGCAGGACGGGAGAGACAUUAACAACAAGGCGUGAAAGCGCAGAAGUCGGCACACUGGAUUCACUGUACUCCACUAUCUCCUCUUACUUGAGGCUUUGACGGGAUGUGGGCCACUGCGGAUUCCUUUGAAAUGCACCGUGGCCUAGUUCAAAGAUGUUACAGACCUUAGCUAAAUUCCGAGCGCCACACACACCAAAAAAAAAAACUUCAGCGGAGUCUGUUCAGCCACCCAUUCAUUCACUGGCUGCCUCUGUUAGCCUCUUAUGGGCAUAUGUGGAGCAUUCCCACCCAGCGGCUAAUCUCUAGCUCCCUGUGCUAGAUUUCCUGCUUGAAUGCACUGUAAUGACAUUUAUAUCAUUUUGCGAGUAGCCUACUAAUUUUUCCUCAUAAUUCCACCCACUCGCAAAUAUGCACAACAUUAUGCCGCAUGCGACAGAAACAUUGUGAUGAUUGCAGAAUAAAUUGUAAAUUGGCCGUCGUAGCUGUUCUGUA